rnacentral:rRNA from 1 species
UACAGGAGGGUGCGAGCGUUAAUCGGAAUUACUGGGCGUAAAGCGUGCGUAGACGGUUAUUUAAGUCGGAUGUGAAAGCCCCGGGCUCAACCUGGGAAUUGCAUUCGAGACUGAAUAGCUAGGGUGCGGUAGAGGGAAGCGGAAUUUCCGGUGUAGCGGUGAAAUGCGUGAGAUAGUCGGAAGGAACAUCAGUGGCGAAAGUGGCUCACUGGACCACAACUGACGCUGAGGCGCGAAAGCGUGGGGAGCGAACAGG